CAGUCGUACCGACGAGAAAUCAACUUAUCGUGUGCGAACUUGUGGGCGUGCGUGAGUUUCGGCCUCGCUGUUUGCAUGUUUGUGCGUUUUGGGUGUACUUUUUCGUAUGGUAGGCCAACGUCAGUUUCGAUUAUCAUAAAAUGACCGGCGGAAUGUAGCUUCGAUUUCGGUUGAAGUGUUAUAGCCUCUGGUAGAUGUGGUGAUUGAGACUGAGGAUUGCAACGAAUACCCUUUGGGCUAUCCGUCUGGCCUCUGAAAGUUGCUCAGGUGCCGAAAGCGUGCUUACGGUCAUCUAAGAUAACGUUCAAUAGGUUAGAACGGGUUAAA
rnacentral:rRNA from 1 species